rnacentral:misc_RNA from 1 species
UAAGACAUCUUGUUCACAUUUCUCAACAAGCAGAAUUGUCUCUAUUAUUCAGCACAAGUGAGAGAAACCUCAUACAUGCCUUCCCCUUGUUACCAAGUGAAUGUGUAUUUUCAAUAACCUGUGUUUUUCACCUAGAUUUUUUACUGACAAAAGUUGUUUUAUGGACAAGUACUGAGAAGAGUCGAGCCUAUUGACAGCUCUUGUCAAUGGUAUAUUUCAAUUUUGUCAACUUUGCAUACAGGCCCAUUUCCCAAAACAAACCAGAAAUCACCAAAAAAAACCUCUACUUCCUCAGCUUGUUUAUAUGAAUUUAUAUUUUAGCAGCAAUAUUGGCAGUAAAAAGUCCAUUUGAAGCCCUAGUGAAUGUAGGGAGAAAAUAAGUGAAAGCAAGUGAAAUUGUUUUAUUAAAAGAUUUCCUGAUUUACUUACAGGAUUGAAGCUGCACGGAGUGUUAGGGGUGAUCCAACAACACCGUCAGAAGAGCAUUGAGUUUUUCUAUAAAGGAAGUUUCCAACAAGCAGUGAAGUUCAGGAUUUUUUGUGCCUUCUUUUUCCGAAGGAAAAGAGAAGAAAGAUGUGGAGGAAGUCAUUGUUUACAAUUUCAACAAAUUCCUCAAGAAAGCUGAACGUGGUGCCAUUUCUACACCUUGGAUUAGUGUUGAGGAGACUGAUGUUGUGGAACAGAAUGUAGUAAUAAAUAUGGGGCAUGUAUUGCAGGCCCUUGUUGGAAGUUCAAACAUUCCAAGAAAUUUGGAAUCUGGAGUUAUAGAGUUUGAUCACAGUUCCAGUAAUUUACCGAGUGCCAACACAUGUGCACCUUCAAUAACAUUGUCAAAAACCAGUGAAUUACAAGACUACAAUAAGUUUAAGAUGUACUUUAUGUUUAUUAUCGUGGGAGCUCCAGGCUUUGGAAAGGCUUAGCUAUUGCGCUGCAUAGAUAUUGAAGUGUCCAUAUCCUUGAGAUAUUAAAUAAAGUUUUGCGUAACAUCUCAUGCCGAUUGUUGAUUGUAUUUACAGCUCUUUUUCAGAGAAUUAUGCGUAAGGCUGUCAGUAAAGCAUUACAAUAAGAAUAUUAUUAAAACUUUGUCAGGGA